GUCGGUAUAGUUAAUUUAAAUGGCUUAUUUACAUUAAGUCGAUAGCUUUGCUUGCUGAUA
rnacentral:tRNA from 1 species